rnacentral:rRNA from 1 species
CUUUUAACGGUGGAUCUCUUGGCUCGUGCAUCGAUGAAGAACGCAGCCAGCUGCGAUACGUAGUGUGAAUUGCAGAAUUCAGUGAAUCAUCGAAUCUUUGAACGCAAAUGGCGCUCUUGGUUAUACCGGGAGCAUGUCUGUCUGAGUGUUGGUUAAAAACGAGAAACGAACGCGUUUUCGCGCGUUCGAUUCGAUUGAGGCGUCGCGUUCGAUUGUAAAAUGACAACGCGUCCCUCGAAGUGCAGCACGCGCUCAACACGUCGCCGCGUGAGCAAGGCCUAAAUUGCAUUUUUAACCUUGCAAUCGUUGGCAUUCGUUGGCGCGCGUCUUUCAUAAUCCCUUAACCUCAGAUCAGGCAAGAUUACCCGCUGAAUUUAAGCAUAUUACUAAGCGGAGGAAAAGAAACUAACAAGGAUUCCCCCAGUAAUGGCGAAUGAAGAGGGAACAGCUCAACUUGAGAAUCUCCGUUGUGUUGCAACGGCGAAUUGUAGUUUCGAGAAGUACUUUCCCGGCGCAUCGAGUUUGCCUAAGUUGCUUGGAACAGCACGUCACAGAGGGUGACAACCCCGUACGUGGCAAUGCUCGAGCGCUCGCGAUGUGCUUUCGAAGAGUCGGGUUGUUUGGGAACGCAGCCCAAAACGGGUGGUAAACUCCAUCUAAAGCUAAAUACAGGCACGAGACCGAUAGCGAACAAGUACCGUGAGGGAAAGAUGAAAAGGACUUUGAAAAGAGAGUUAAAAGUACGUGAAACCGUUGAAAG